AGGGUUUGAUCAUGGCUCAGGACGAACGCUGGCGGCAGGCCUAACACAUGCAAGUCGAGCGCACCCUUCGGGGCGAGCGGCGGACGGGUUAGUAACGCGUGGGAAUAUACCCUUCACUACGGAAUAGCCUUUGGAAACGAAGAGUAAUACCGUAUACGCCCUUCGGGGGAAAGAUUUAUCGGUGAAGGAUUAGCCCGCGUUAGAUUAGAUAGUUGGUGGGGUAAUGGCCUACCAAGUCUACGAUCUAUAGCUGGUUUUAGAGGAUGAUCAGCAACACUGGGACUGAGACACGGCCCAGACUCCUACGGGAGGCAGCAGUGGGGAAUCUUAGACAAUGGGCGCAAGCCUGAUCUAGCCAUGCCGCGUGUGUGAUGAAGGCCCUAGGGUCGUAAAGCACUUUCGCUAGGGAUGAUAAUGACAGUACCUAGUAAAGAAACCCCGGCUAACUCCGUGCCAGCAGCCGCGGUAAUACGGAGGGGGUUAGCGUUGUUCGGAAUUACUGGGCGUAAAGCGUACGUAGGCGGAUCAGAAAGUAGGGGGUGAAAUCCCGAGGCUCAACCUCGGAACUGCCUCCUAAACUCCUGGUCUUGAGUUCGAGAGAGGUGAGUGGAAUUCCAAGUGUAGAGGUGAAAUUCGUAGAUAUUUGGAGGAACACCAGUGGCGAAGGCGGCUCACUGGCUCGAUACUGA
rnacentral:rRNA from 1 species